AGAGUUUGAUCAUGGCUCAGAUUGAACGCUGGCGGCAGGCCUAACACAUGCAAGUCGAGCGGUAGCACAGAGAGCUUGCUCUCGGGUGACGAGCGGCGGACGGGUGAGUAAUGUCUGGGAAACUGCCUGAUGGAGGGGGAUAACUACUGGAAACGGUAGCUAAUACCGCAUAACGUCGCAAGACCAAAGUGGGGGACCUUCGGGCCUCAUGCCAUCAGAUGUGCCCAGAUGGGAUUAGCUAGUAGGUGGGGUAACGGCUCACCUAGGCGACGAUCCCUAGCUGGUCUGAGAGGAUGACCAGCCACACUGGAACUGAGACACGGUCCAGACUCCUACGGGAGGCAGCAGUGGGGAAUAUUGCACAAUGGGCGCAAGCCUGAUGCAGCCAUGCCGCGUGUGUGAAGAAGGCCUUCGGGUUGUAAAGCACUUUCAGCGGGGAGGAAGGCGGUGAGGUUAAUAACCUCAUCGAUUGACGUUACCCGCAGAAGAAGCACCGGCUAACUCCGUGCCAGCAGCCGCGGUAAUACGGAGGGUGCAAGCGUUAAUCGGAAUUACUGGGCGUAAAGCGCACGCAGGCGGUCUGUCAAGUCGGAUGUGAAAUCCCCGGGCUUAACCUGGGAACUGCAUUCGAAACUGGCAGGCUAGAGUCUUGUAGAGGGGGGUAGAAUUCCAGGUGUAGCGGUGAAAUGCGUAGAGAUCUGGAGGAAUACCGGUGGCGAAGGCGGCCCCCUGGACAAAGACUGACGCUCAGGUGCGAAAGCGUGGGGAGCAAACAGGAUUAGAUACCCUGGUAGUCCACGCCGUAAACGAUGUCGAUUUGGAGGUUGUGCCCUUGAGGCGUGGCUUCCGGAGCUAACGCGUUAAAUCGACCGCCUGGGGAGUACGGCCGCAAGGUUAAAACUCAAAUGAAUUGACGGGGGCCCGCACAAGCGGUGGAGCAUGUGGUUUAAUUCGAUGCAACGCGAAGAACCUUACCUGGUCUUGACAUCCACAGAACUUAGCAGAGAUGCUUUGGUGCCUUCGGGAACUGUGAGACAGGUGCUGCAUGGCUGUCGUCAGCUCGUGUUGUGAAAUGUUGGGUUAAGUCCCGCAACGAGCGCAACCCUUAUCCUUUGUUGCCAGCGGUCCGGCCGGGAACUCAAAGGAGACUGCCAGUGAUAAACUGGAGGAAGGUGGGGAUGACGUCAAGUCAUCAUGGCCCUUACGACCAGGGCUACACACGUGCUACAAUGGCAUAUACAAAGAGAAGCGACCUCGCGAGAGCAAGCGGACCUCAUAAAGUAUGUCGUAGUCCGGAUUGGAGUCUGCAACUCGACUCCAUGAAGUCGGAAUCGCUAGUAAUCGUAGAUCAGAAUGCUACGGUGAAUACGUUCCCGGGCCUUGUACACACCGCCCGUCACACCAUGGGAGUGGGUUGCAAAAGAAGUAGGUAGCUUAACCUUCGGGAGGGCGCUUACCACUUUGUGAUUCAUGACUGGGGUGAAGUCGUAACAAGGUAACCGUAGGGGAACCUGCGGUUG
rnacentral:rRNA from 1 species